CACUUUUUUACAGUGGAAAACCAUGCUAUGUCUAGUUUAGUACCUAUGUCACAGUAUUUGAUAUGUAAUGACAUGUCUUUUAACACUGAUUUAGGAAUGACUCACAACUGGAUACCACUAGGUGGCUUGAUCCUAAUCUGAUUGAAUUUAUAAUAAGUGGAAUCAAACACGGGGCACUUUCAUCACUUUGGUCCUCUCAGGAAGACGUGCAGAAUUCAAACCACCUCUCUCAGCUGGAAGCUUUUUCCAUUCACUUGUAAGCAGAGGAUCUUCAGAAGCUGAAAAUAAUGGAACCACAAGACAAUGUAAGCCAGGAGCUGCGUACAAUGAAAAGAAGACUGUGUUAUAUCAGCAUCACUGUUUGUGCUCUUUGUCUAGCCUGCACUUCUGCCACAUUCACUCUGCUCUUCUUAUGCCGAAAGGAUUCUUCUACAGAAACAAUUGGAACAUCCAGUCAAAAAGCAGUUCCAGGUACGAAAUGUCAAGGUAAGAAAUCUGUCUGAUGGAUAUUUACUAUUUCUAUAUGCAUUAUUCUUUAAACCAUAGUACCGAUUGUAGGUCUAAAUACAACUCAGGUAUGCAAUGUAUUAUAUGCUUGAGAUCUGGCAAUUUCUGGAUAAGGGGUCUUUCAGUGGAUCACCAUUCCUUAAGUUUGCUGGAAAGCAUUUAAUAUUAUGGGUGCGGUCACACGGGGCAUUUUUAAGUCGCAUUUUUAAAAAUGCACGGU